CCGGAGGAGGCGGCGGGCGC
rnacentral:misc_RNA from 1 species